rnacentral:misc_RNA from 1 species
UAGAGAGCUACGGCUCCCUGUCUGUCAUUACCCCAUUGAUAUUUCAUUCUAUGUUGCUUCCACCCCUUAGAAUUCUAGGUGGUGGGAGGUUUUUUCAUCUUACUUUUCUUGCUUAGGCUGUUGAUUUGUCUGAAUAUGAGGGAAAAUGCUACA